UGGGCAACGGUAGGUCAGUAUGCCCCGAAUCUCCCGGGCUACACGCGGGCUACAAUGGUUGGUACAAUGGGCAUCUACCCCGAAAGGGGAAGGAAUCUCUUAAAGCCAAUCGUAGUUCGGAUUGAGGGCUGCAACUCGCCCUCAUGAAGCUGGAAUCCGUAGUAAUCGCGUUUCAACAGAACGCGGUGAAUACGUCCCUGCUCCCGUU
rnacentral:rRNA from 1 species